CAACGAGCAAGCAGCUCAGAUAUUUAAUGCUUUUCCGGUUGGCAGUUACAUGUGUUGGCCGUAAUGAAUAUAACUACAGAUUACACACGGUUUUUCAGCUCAAUCAAUUUGGGUAGUUUUGGCUCACCARUCGUCCAAGCGAUUCAAAAUAUUGCCGCUAUCCACAACUUUAAGCAACGCAAACAAAACUACUGCUCUUAACACAGAAAGAUGGUUGACAACACUACUACUGAGUAACGCUCCGAACACAUAGAGCGCGACAGACUGCAAGCGACAUCUGUCARAUUUAAAAUACARACGUUCUUAARGACAUAGUUAUUGAGACAA